CCUACGGGACGCAGCAGUGGGGAAUAUUGCACAAUGGGGGAAACCCUGAUGCAGCAACGCCGCGUGAGUGAAGAAGUCAUUCGUGACGUAAAGCUCUAUCAGCAGGGAAGAAAAUGACGGUACCUGAGUAAGAAGCCCCGGCUAACUACGUGCCAGCAGCCGCGGUAAUACGUAGGGGGCAAGCGUUAUCCGGAUUUACUGGGUGUAAAGGGAGCGUAGACGGCCAGACAAGUCUGAAGUGAAAAUCCAGCGCUUAACGUUGGAAGUGCUUUGGAAACUGCCGGGCUGGAGUGCAGGAGGGGCAG
rnacentral:rRNA from 1 species